GACGAACGCUGGCGGCGUGCUUAACACAUGCAAGUCGAGCGGUAAGGCCCUUUUGGGGGUACACGAGCGGCGAACGGGUGAGUAACACGUGGGUGACCUGCCCUCAGCUCUGGGAUAAGCCUGGGAAACUGGGUCUAAUACUGGAUAUGACCUUUCCUCGCAUGGGGUUGGGUGGAAAGUUUUUCGGCUGGGGAUGGGCCCGCGGCCUAUCAGCUUGUUGGUGGGGUGAUGGCCUACCAAGGCGACGACGGGUAGCCGGCCUGAGAGGGCGACCGGCCACACUGGGACUGAGACACGGCCCACGACUCCUACGGGAGGGCAGCAGUGGGGAAGUAUUGCGCAAUGGGCGGAAGCCUGACGCAGCGACGCCGCGUGGGGGAGUGAC
rnacentral:rRNA from 1 species